CAGCACCUCAAGUGGUCAGGAUGAUUAUUGGGCCUAAAGCAUCCGUAGCCGGCGCUGUAAGUUUUCGGUUAAAUCUGUACGCUCAACGUACAGGCUGCCGGGAAUGCUGCAGCGCUAGGGAGUGGGAGAGGUAGACGGUACUCGGUAGGAAGGGGUAAAAUCCUUUGAUCUAUUGAUGACCACCUGUGGCGAAGGCGGUCUACCAGAACACGUCCGACGGUGAGGGAUGAAAGAUGGGGGAGCAAACCGGAUUAGAUACCCGCGUAGUCC
rnacentral:rRNA from 1 species